GUAGGGAAUAUUGGGCAAUGGUCGGAAGACUGACCCAGCCAUGCCGCGUGCAGGAAGACGGCCCUCUGGGUUGUAAACUGCUUUUAUCUGGGAAGAAAAAGGCCAUGCGUGGCAAAUUGCCGGUACCAGAUGAAUAAGCACCGGCUAACUCCGUGCCAGCAGCCGCGGUAAUACGGAGGGUGCGAGCGUUGUCCGGAUUUAUUGGGUUUAAAGGGUGCGUAGGCGGCUGAUUAAGUCAGCGGUGAAAGACUUCGGCUUAACCGGAGCAGUGCCGUUGAUACUGGUUGGCUUGAGUGUCGGAGGGGUACAUGGAAUUGAUGGUGUAGCGGUGAAAUGCAUAGAUACCAUCAGGAACACCGAUAGCGAAGGCAUUGUACUGGCCGACAACUGACGCUGAUGCACGAAAGUGUGGGGAUCGAACAGGAUUAGAAACCCCUGUAGUCC
rnacentral:rRNA from 1 species